rnacentral:tRNA from 1 species
GGGUAUAGUUCAGUGGUAGAAUGCAUGCUUAGCAUGUGUGAGGUCUUGGGUUCAAUCCCCAGUAGCUCCA